GAUGAACGCUGGCGGCGUGCUUAACACAUGCAAGUCGAACGAUGAAGCUCAGCUUGCUGGGUGGAUUAGUGGCGAACGGGUGAGUAACACGUGAGUAACCUGCCCUUAACUCUGGGAUAAGCCUGGGAAACUAGGUCUAAUACCGGAUAGGAGCGCCUACCGCAUGGUGGGUGUUGGGAAGAUUUAUCGGUUUUGGAUGGACUCGCGGCCUAUCAGCUUGUUGGUGAGGUAAUGGCUCACCAAGGCGACGACGGGUAGCCGGCCUGAGAGGGUGACCGGCCACACUGGGACUGAGACACGGCCCAGACUCCUACGGGAGGCAGCAGUGGGGAAUAUUGCACAAUGGGCGGAAGCCUGAUGCAGCGACGCCGCGUGAGGGAUGACGGCCUUCGGGUUGUAAACCUCUUUCAGUAGGGAAGAAGCGAGAGUGACGGUACCUGCAGAAGAAGCACCGGCUAACUACGUG
rnacentral:rRNA from 1 species